UUGGAGGGCAAGUCUGGUGCCAGCAGCCGCGGUAAUUCCAGCUCCAAUAGCGUAUAUUAAAGUUGUUGCAGUUAAAAAGCUCGUAGUUGAAUUUCGGGAUUGACACAUUGGUCGUGCCCUAAGGGGUGUGAACUGGUGUAGUCAAUUUCUCACCUUCUGGAGAACCGCGCUGUCCUUAAUUGGGUGACGCGGGGAACCAGGACCUUUACUUUGAAAAAAUUAGAGUGUUUAAAGCAGGCAUUUUGCUUGAAUACAUUAGCAUGGAAUAAUAAAAUAGGACGGCAUGAUUCUAUUUUGUUGGUUUCUAGGAUCACCGUAAUGAUUAAUAGGGAUAGUUGGGGGCAUUAGUAUUCAAUUGUCAGAGGUGAAAUUCUUGGAUUUAUUGAAGACUAACUACUGCGAAAGCAUUUGCCAAGGAUGUUUUCAUUAAUCAAGAACGAAAGUUAGGGGAUCGAAGACGAUCAGAUACCGUCGUAGUCUUAACCAUAAACUAUGCCGACUAGGAAUCAGACGAUGUUAAUUUUUUAAUGACUCGUUCGGCGCCUUACGGGAAAC
rnacentral:rRNA from 1 species